rnacentral:rRNA from 1 species
UACAGAGGUCUCGAGCGUUAGGCGGAAUCACUGGGCUUAAAGCGUGUGUAGGCGGAUCGUUAAGUACCUUGUGAAAUCCCACGGCUUAACCGUGGAACUGCUUGGUAUACUGGCGGUCUUGAGCCAGCUAGGGGCUACCGGAACAAAUGGUGGAGCGGUGAAAUGCGUAGAUAUCUGCAGGAACACCCGUGGCGAAAGCGGCGCGCUGGACCACUACUGACGCUGAGGAACGAAAGCUAGGGGAGCAAACAGG